UCCCCGCUGGCGCGGGGAACACGUAGCGCCUAUUGAGCGCUGGCGGGCCGACAGCGGUUUAUCCCCGCUGGCGCGGGG
rnacentral:tRNA from 1 species